CCUGGUUGAUCCUGCAGUAGCAUAUGCUUGUCUCAAAGAUUAAGCCAUGCACGUGUAAGUCACAUGGCUGGUGCAGUGAAACUGCAAAUGGCUCAUUAAAUUAGUUAUGGUUUCUUUGAUCACUCCACCUGUUACUUGGAUAACUGUGGUAAUUCUAGAGCUAAUACAUGCAGACGAGUGCAGGCUUGGCCGGCCGCUUUGGUCACUCUAGAUGACUCCGGUCGAUCGCACGUCCUGUGAUGGCAACGAUGCAUUCGGAUGUCUGCAUGCUGAUUUCUGCCCUAUCAACUUUCGAUGGUACUUUCUGUGCCUACCAUGGUGACCACCGGUAAUGGGGAAUCAGAGUUCGAUUCUGAAGAGGGAUCCUGAGAAAAGGCUACAACAUCCAAGGAAGACAGCAGGCGCGCAAAUUACCCACUCACGACUCCAGGAGGUAGUGAUAAUACAUGACUCUUUCGAGGCACUGUAAUUGGAAUGAGUACACUUUAAAUCCUUUAACGAGUACCCAUUGGAGGGCAAGUCUGAUGCCAGCAGUUGCAGUAAUUCCAACUCCAAUAGCGUAUAUUAAAGUUGCUGCUGUUAAAAAGCUCGUAGUUGGAUCUUGGGAUCGAGCUGGCGGACCGCCGCGAGGCAAGCUACCGCCUGUCCCAGCCCCUGUCUCUCGGCGCCCCCUUGAUGCUCUUGACUGAGUGUCCUGGGUGUCCGAAGCGUUUACUUUAAAAAAAAAGUAGUGGGUUCAAAGCAGGCUGGUCACCUGAAUACUUCACGUAGGAAUAAUGGAAUAGGACUCUGGUUCUAUUUUGUUUGUUUUCGGAACGGGGGCCAUUAUUAAGAGGGACAGCUAGGGGCAUUCGUAUUGUGCCACUAGAGGUGGAAUUCUUGGACUGGCGCAAGAUGAACCAAAGUGAAAGCAUUAGCCAAGAAUGUUUUCCUUAAUCAAGUCUGAGGUUCGAAGACGAUCCAAUACCGUCGUAGUUCCGACCAUAAACGAUGCCGACUAGCGAUCUGGUGGCGUUAUUCCCAUGACCCGCUGAGCAACUUCCGGGAAACCAAAGUCUUUGGGUUUCGGGGUGAGUUUGGUUGCAAAGCUGAAACUUAAAGCAAUUGACGGAAGGCCACCACCAUGAGUGGAGCCUGCGGAUUAGUUUGACUCAACACAGGAAUCUCACCCGGACACGGAAAGGAUUGACAGAUUGAUAGCUCUUUCUUGAUUCUGUGGUGGUGGUGCGUGGCCGUUCCUAGUUGGUGGAGCGAUUUUGUCUGGUUUAAUUCCGACAAGAACAAGACUCCUCCAUGCUAACUAGUUACGUGACCCCCCCUCCCACCACAGCGGUCAGUGUUGAACUUCUUAGAGGACAAGUGGCGAUCAGCCACACAAGAUCGAGCAAUAACGGGUCUGUGAUGCCCUUAGAUGUCCAGGCUGCACACACGCUACACUGACCGGAUCAGCGUUUGUCUACCCUUUCGCCGACAGGUGCGGGUAACAUGCUGAACACCGUUCAUGAUAGGGAUUGGGGAUUGCAAUUAUUUCCCUUUGUACACACCUCUCGUCGCUUUCUACCGACUGGAUGGUUUAGUGAGGUCCUCGGAUCGGCCAUUGCGGGGUCGGCAACAGCCCUGGCAGAGCGGCAAGAAGACAAUCAAACUUGACUAGUGGAAAUAAGUCGUACGGGUUGGGUUAACCUGCCGGGGACAU
rnacentral:rRNA from 1 species